UACAGAGGGUGCAAGCGUUAAUCGGAAUUACUGGGCGUAAAGGGCGCGUAGGUGGUUUAUUAAGUCAGAUGUGAAAUACCUGGGCUUAACCUAGGAAUUGCAUUUGAAACUAAUUGGCUAGAGUAUGGGAGAGGGAAGUGGAAUUUCCGGUGUAGCGGUGAAAUGCGUAGAUAUCGGAAGGAACACCAACGGCGAAAGCACUCUGCUGGGCCGACACUGACACUGAGAGACGAAAGCUAGGGGAGCGAAUGGG
rnacentral:rRNA from 1 species